AACGAACGCUGGCGGCGUGCCUAAUACAUGCAAGUCGAGCGAGAAAGUGGCUUCGGUCAUGAGUAAAGCGGCAGACGGGUGAGUAAUACAUAGGUAACCUUCCCUCAAGAUGAGGACAACCUUCCGAAAGGAGGGCUAAUACUGAAUGAGACCACAGUGACACAAGUCACAGGGGUUAAAGACGGCCUCUAUUUAUAAGCUUUCGCUUGAGGAUGGGCUUAUGCACCAUUAGCUAGUUGGUAGGGUAAUGGCCUACCAAGGCUUCGAUGGUUAGCUGAUCUGAGAGGUUGAUCAGCCACACUGGAACUGAGACACGGUCCAGACUCCUACGGGAGGCAGCAGUAGGGAAUAUUGCGCAAUGGAGGAAACUCUGACGCAGCGACGCCGCGUGGGUGACGAAGGUCUUCGGAUCGUAAAGCCCUGUCGGAGGGGACGAAAGACACCAAGAUAAUACCUUGGUGGGAUGACGGUACCCUUAAAGG
rnacentral:rRNA from 1 species